GCCCUUUCGUUUGUACGUUCGGAGAGUGGAAAUAGGAGCCUAAAACCUGUGAUGGUGUUGCUGUUAGACACAAUGAACUCUGUGACCUGAUAACACUACUAUUAAGAUGAAGAUGAAAUUCAGAGAGCAGCUGGGACGCAUUUGACAUUGGGUCUUCAGUUUCUGAUUCCAAACAUGCAUCAAUGAUAUGGGAACAAUCUUAGACUAAAGACAGCCAUUAUAUCUUCUGGGAAAAAAAAAAGUGUUGAAGUCAAAGGAGAAUCUGAAGUUGACUUGGCCGGAGUUGCAUCAUGCAUGAGCUCUAAUGAUCUUCGAAGAUUUGAAGAAAAUCAGUGCAUUAAAAAUGUAAAACUAUUGCCUUAAGCCCCCUUCAUGGGUUACUGCUUGUCAUGGUGAAGGGGCUUGCAUAGUUCAAUGAAGGUAUGAGUUAUGCCAUGCAGGGCCACCCAAGAUGAACAGGUCAUAGCAGAGAGUUCUGACAAAAUGUGAUCCACUGGAGAAGAAAAUGGCAACCCACUCCGGUAUCUUUGCCAUGAAAAUCCCAUGGACAGGACCAAAAGGCAAAAAGAUAUGACGCUGGAAGAUGAGCCCCUCAGGUCGGAAGGUGUCCAAUAUGCUACUGGGGAAGAGCAGAGGGAUAGUACUAGUAGCGCCAGAAAAAGUGAAGCAACUGGGCCAAAGCUGAAAGGAGGCUCAGCUGUUGGAUGCAUCUGGUGGUGCAAGGAAAGUCCGAUGAUGUAAAGAUCUAUUCUUCAUAGGAAUCUAGAAUGUAAGAUCCAUGAAUUGAGGCAAGCCUAGACAUGGUCAAACGAGAUGACAAGAUUGAACAUCAACAUCUUGGGAAUCAGUGAACUAAAAUGAACAGGAAAGGGUUAAUUUAAUUCAGAUGAAUCCCUCAAACAAUGGAGUAGCCUUCAUAGUCAAUAAAAGUAGGAAAAGCAAUACUGGGAUACAAUCCCCAAAAUGACAGAAUGAUCUCAGUUUGAAUCCAAGGCAAACCAUUCAAUAUCUCAGUAGUCGCUGGUGCUGAAGAGGAUGGAAUUGACCAGUUCUAUGAAGUCCUACAGCACAGUACAGAAUUAACACCAAAAAAUGAUGUCCUUAUUCAUCAUGGGGGGUUGAAAUGCUAAAGUAGGAAGCCAAAAGAUAACUGGAAUAACAGGCAAUUUUGGCUUUGGAGUAUAAAAUGAAGCAGGGCACAGGCUGAUAGAAUUUUGUCAAGAAGAAUACUUGAUGGUCAUAGCAAACAUUCUUUUCCAGCAAUCCAAGAGACAUCUCUACACAUGGACAUCACCAGAUGGUCAACACAAAUCAGAUUGAUUAUGUGCUUUGCAGCCAAAGAUAGAGUAAAAACAAGACCAGGAGCUGACGCUCAGAUGAUGAACUUCUCGUUGCAAAAUGUAGGCUUAAAUUGAAGAAAGUAGGAAAAAGCACUAAGCCACUUGGGUAUGAACUAAAUCAUAUCCUGAUGAAUAUUCAGUAGAAGUGGCAAAUUUAAGGAAUUGCAUCUGAUAGAGUGCCUUAAGCAUUAAAUGUAGCACCAGAAUGUAUGUGUUUUUUU